GUCGGGCAUGGUGACGCAUGCCUGUAAUCCCAGCUACUCAGGAGGCUGAGGCAGGAGAAUCGCUUGAACCUGGGAGGUGGAGGUUGCAGUGAGCCGAGAUUGCGCCACUGCACUCCAGCCUGGGUGAUAGAGUGAGACUCUGUCUCAA
rnacentral:sRNA from 1 species